rnacentral:rRNA from 1 species
AUGGCAACCGUGGACAUGCGGCGGUUGGAGACAGGCGCGGGCGGCGGCUACGACGCCAUGGGGUUGUCCAAGCGGGUAGACGACGACCUCGACGACGACGGCCGGCCGCGGCGCACGGGCACGGCGUGGACGGCCAGCGCGCACAUCAUCACCACGGUGCUGGGGUCCGGCGUGCUGUCCCUGGCGUGGGGGGUGGCGCAGCUGGGCUGGGUGGCCGGCCCCGGCGUGAUGACGCUGUUCGCCGCCGUCAUCUACUACACCUCGGCGCUCCUGGCCGACUGCUACCGCACCGGCGACCCCGUGUCCGGCCCGCGCAACCGCACCUACAUGGCCGCCGUCCGCGCCACCCUGGACGAGUCCAAGGUGAAGCUCUGCGGCGCCAUCCAGUUCGUCAACCUCUUCGGCAUCGGCAUCGGCAUCACCAUCGCCGCGUCCGUCAGCAUGCUGGCGAUCAAGAAGGCGGGAUGCUUCCACAAGGAAGGGCACAAGGGCGACUGCAACAGUUCUUCCAUGAGCCCGUACAUUGCCAUCUACGGCAUCAUGGAGAUCUUCUUCUCGCAGAUCCCGGGCUUGGACAGUAUGUGGUGGCUGUCCAUCCUCGCCACCGUCAUGUCCUUCACCUACUCCACCAUCGGCAUCUCCCUCGGCGUCGCGCAGAUUGUAGCCAACGGGGGAAUCCAGGGCGGCCUCACCGGCGUGGCCGUCGGCAUCAACGCCGCCGGCAAGAGCAUCACGGUGAUGGAGAAAGUCUGGCGUAGUCUUCAGGCGUUUGGGAACAUGGCUUUCGCCUACGGCUUCUCCAUCGUCCUGCUCGAGAUCCAAGACACGCUGAAGGCGGCGGCGCCGUCGGAGGCGAAGGUGAUGAAGAAGGCGACGGCGGUGAGCGUGGCGGUGACGACGGUGAUCUACCUGCUGUGCGGGUGCGUGGGGUACGCGGCGUUCGGCGACGGGGCGCCGGACAACCUCCUCACGGGCUUCGGCUUCUACGAGCCCUUCUGGCUGCUGGACCUGGCCAACGCCGCGGUCGCCGUCCACCUGGUGGGCACGUACCAGGUCAUCACCCAGCCCAUCUUCGCCUACGUCGAGCUGCGCGCCGCCGCGGCCUGGCCGGACAGCGCGUUCGUGGGCACGAGGGAGGUCCGGCUGUGGCCGACGGCCGUCCGCGUGUCCGUGUGCCCGCUCCGGCUGACCUGGCGCACGGCGUACGUGUGCGUGACGACCGCCGUGGCCAUGGCGAUGCCCUUCUUCGGGUCCGUGGUGGGGCUCAUCGGCGCCAUCUCCUUCUGGCCGCUCACCGUCUACUUCCCCGUGUCGAUGUACAUCGCGCAGCGCCGGGUGCCGCGAGGCAGCACGCGGUGGAUGUUCCUCCAGGCGCUGAGCGCCGUGUGCCUCCUCGUGUCCGUCGUGGCGGCGGCCGGCUCCGUGGCCGACGUCGCGGCCGAGUUCAAGGCGCACAACCCGUUCCGCCGGGGGUGA